ACACAUUUUUUUACGCUUUUCAACAUUAUUAAAUUUUAAAAAGUCUUAGUGGAUCAUGGAAAAAUUUAGAAAAUACUGGUAUCUAAUAAACAAUCCUUUUUUACAAGAUAGACAUACAUCAAUAAAAAUAUUUAAAGUUUUUAAAUGAAAAAAGAUUUUAAUUUCCAUGUUUUCAAACGUGUAAUAACUGCAGUAGUACGACAAAAAUACUUUUAGUUUAGUGCCUUAAUUAUAUUAUUCGAACAUGUUCAGCAAGGGGAAAAAUUUUUGCUGGCGGAGAAACUUUUAACGUAAUUUCCUUACCAGCUUUUAUCUCUCUUGCAGUGGAAAACUUUAAUGAGCGCAACGAGAAUAUGCACUAAAAGAAACUUUCAUUAUCUUAAAAUAAUCGCAUAUGCAUAUCACGUAAAAAAAGGUCACGUUACAGUGCUUCCACUUAUUUUAAAGUUUUUCGAUACUUAUUCUUAUUGACCAUACUUGUUAUUGUUAUUAACUUUAUGAGCAUUAUUUUUUAGAUAGCCUCUUCAAAAGCUACAAAACCUUUUCCCCAUGUUUCUUUAUUCAAUUUUGCUAUUUGUAUUCAGUGCAAGUAUUCUGCAAUUAUGAUUGCGACUUUCGUCCAAUUGAAAUUAAUUAAAAUUUAUGAAGAGAUCAAUGAAUAACGUUAAAUAGAACAGUUAUUGAAAACUCAUUCUCUAUCAAUGCAAUGGUAACGGCCCGCGACUACAGUUUAAAAGGAUAAAAAUAAAUUAGAACCGCUCCAUUUUCCGAGUGUGCAGCACGCCAUUAAAGAAGUUAUGGUCCUAUUACUUAAAGUACUGCCACGCCCCUAUGCAACGACCUUAACUUCCGGCACUACCUACAUGCGUUCUUUAAAAAAACAACCCUUCCCUGUUGCCUUCGCUUUUUCCCAACCCUCCGCGUCCAAAAGUUCAAACCUGUUCAAUGGACAGAACUUUUUCCGUUUCGAAACCUCGACCAUGUACAGUCAAUGAAGGAAAACAUACAAAUCUGUCUAACGAAAGAGCUUAGUGUUUUUAUUAAAGCGUUUGAUUAUUGCAUGCAGGUUUUCGGGAAUACGCGUAAAUUGAAAAUUAGCUUUUACAUAAUUUCAUCAACUUGUCAGGAUGUACGAAUGAAAUUUAACAUACGAGAGGUAUAUAAUAAACCUCGACGUAAUCCUGGAAUUAAAAUACAUAUAUCACAAAUUAAUAUUAUCGUUUACAUAGCAACGCAAAUUAUUCAUUUUAUCGUAGAAUGACUGAAAUCUCCUACGCGAUGCAAUUUAGUCGUUUGUAUAUGCAGGCUCGCUCAUUUCACUCUAUUAAUUAAUAUAAGAAAUGUUUUAAAAUUCAAAUAAAGCUGUCAAAGAACGAAAUUAAUCGAAAUCGAAAGAUAUGAAUUUUUAAAUGUUUAGCACUUCAGUAAUCUACAUUUUCUGAAUUAAAUCUCAAUUAAAUCGCUAUUUUUAAUUUAAUUUUCUUAUUCGUUAAUGCUAGAACCUGUAUUCUAAUAUAACUGUGAGGCGCACAUGCCUUGAAAUUGAAGCUAAAAAGUAGUUAAAAAGAAACCUGUUUGUUCAUAUCCCGUAAACGAGCAUAUGAAAAAUAACCCAGAAAGCACGAGAGCGAUGCGUUAAAAUAUAAGCCAGACUCCUGUGUUAAUCGCGUAUCACAAAAUUCUCUCCGAAUCAACAUGCAUAUAUUCAAAUUAACGCGAGCCGCGUAAGUGAGCGCGCGAAGGACUCGGAGCCUUAAUCUGUUUUAGCGGGGGCGUCAGUAAAAAACCGGCAGACGGCAGAGGGCAGAGGGCAGAGGGAGUCGCACGUUUUUUCCCAAGACGGGUGGAAGAAACGGCCUCGGGUUCCCAAUUAGCGUUCUUACCCCGUCUCGACGGCCGCGGGGCAAAUGCCGGGCUUCAGGACGGCGACGGGAUGCAAGGGAGCGAGAUAAACCGCGCGAUAAAACGGUACACGCUCGCAUCACACCCCGCCCUCGCGCCCUCCGGCUCCGCCGCGUCCUUCUCUCUUUUUUUUUUUUCUUUUUACUCAUUCUAGCUUCACACGCGCGCGCGCCACCGGAAGGGCGGUAAAGUAGAAACGGCGAGGAGACACGGCCAAGAAGAGUUCAUAUCCCGCGUCGCAUCCCGCUGACUUAGGUGACUCUCAGAGAUUUAACAUGUAAAUAAUACGGUGGACGACAGUUCAAAUAUUUUGCAAGUUUACACGUCGCGAGAGAUCCCGGUAGCGAAAACAUCUGGCUCGUGAAAGAAACUUGAUUAAAAUCAUUUAUGUAACUUACAUCAACUAUUUUUUCUUACUUCUUUUUGCUUUUUGCUUUCGCUGUUAAUAUCUUGCGGAGAUUUAUUGCCGUUCUUUUUGUUUACAAAUUUUUCAAGUUACUUAAACUCGAAUUAACUUUGAAAAUCUUAAAAUAUCAAUAUUUCAAUUAUAAAAGUUAUCAAGAAAUUUACAAAAGUUAUAGUUAUAUGUAAAUACUUCAAAUUUAUGAAAUGGUAACAAAAGUCCUUUACUUAAUUUACUUCGAGAUAAAUAUUACAAAAUUCCAACAAAAAAAUUCAAAAGCCAAAGUUAAAGUAGUAGACAAAUUUAUAAAACCGAAUACAAAAUUCUAAAUUAUAAUUUUAUGGAAAAUAUAUGCACGUUUAUUAAUAUUCAUAUAAUGUGGCAAGUAAUGCAACUUACGCGAAAUUUUUGAAAAACCACAUAAAAUGAAAGAAAAGAAAUAUAAAUAGAAAAACAAAACAUAAAAAUUCUAUUUUUUAGUAAAUAAAAAUCUAUAUUGCUAAAUAUCUAUAAUCAUUCAAAAUAAAAUCGCGAAAUUAAAUUUAACGAAGAUACACUUUCAAGGUGGUUAUUUAUAUCUUCCAUAAAAUACCUCUAUGGAGCAACUAUUAACGCGCUUUUUAUUUUACCACGAAAUGUCACAUUUAACUCACUAAUAAAAAAUUUCGCCACUACUAUGCAAAACGCGUAAUUUGCAUGUCCGCGGAAGGACGAAAAUUCGCGAAGACGAAGGGUUGAGAGUCAGCGGACGCGGGUAGCUCGCUAUUUUCAGGCCUUUACGAGAAAUUCACGCCGCCAAGGAAACGCGAAGGAAUUGUCCCUCGGUCCCGGUGUAAUGCGCGAACGUAAUACAGUCAAAUACUUUCCAUCUAGUUCCACCAGAGACAGCAUCUUUUUUCUCACCUUUUCUUUCACGCCGGCGACUAUUAAACACACGCGGCUGAGAAAACGCACGACAGUCGGCGGCGCGUGAUGGUCGCCGCGCGCGCUAAUUAUUUAAUUAUUUAUUUACCGGCUUCAUUUCACCGGAUUAUAUCCGGUGCGGCCGGGCAAGUUUCAUUCUUCAUCGCGGCCUAUUAACGCGACAUACCGCCAGCACCUACGCGCUCCACCUUCGCGGCUCCUGCAGACGACUAAUUGUUUACAAAGCGACUCUCUACUCGGUGUUUACGUACUAAUCAGCCCCUGCACAUUUUAAACGAGUUUAAUUUUGUUCCUUUGACUUUAGGGACUACGUUAUUUACAUUGUGCGAUGAAAUUAUUGCGUUUGAGAAUUUUUGAUCAUUGCUAUCUGCCAUUAUUAAUUACGGAUGUUAUAAAUUUUAAAUAAUGUCUGCGGCUAUGUACAAACGAUAUAUUUAAUAAUAUUGCGGGAAAUAAUCAUUAAGAAUUACAGAUUAUACAGUAUAUUUUGACAAGCAUGUAGCAAAAAACAUAAAAAUUGUGAUAAAAGUUAUAAAAGAUGAUAAAAUUUUCAACCAAAUAUAAAGCAAAAAAUCCGGACUUUUUCGAUCUAAUUUUAGUAAGAUAGUUUCAUGAAACUAAAAAUGAUUAAAAACUGUUUUUCAAAUAAUAAUUUACAAUUAGAACGUUUUGAAAUAUAUGUUGCUUGAAUUUUAUUUCAGCGCGCAUGAACAAACAAGGAAUUGCUCCUAAGCUUCGCAUAUAUAUGCAUGUAUAUUAUUUUGAGUGUAUUAAGUAAAUUUCGAAACAUAAAUUAAGUACAAAAUUUGUGUGUUGCAUCAGCUUUAACAAGACUUUUGUCUUAUAUUUUCAACUAGCUAGAUGUGUGACGUGCAGCUUGAUCAAAUAUCCCGUGUAAAAAAAAUAAGCUUAUAGAAAUUAGCAUGAGUAUUGCGUUGUCUAACAAAUAUUAAAAUAACCACUGACAAAUAAUUAUCAGUUACAAGCUGAUAUUUAGUUCGACACAUGCGGUAUUUUCGAUCGAUUGUAAUUUUCUCUAAUAAUAUGGUUCCUCUAAUAACGUAAAUUAUAAUAUUUCACACAUGCUUGACUAAUGUAACAUGUAUUUGUUUAUGAAUCAUAUAAAUCCAUUCUGUACUAUUUGUGCGUAUAUAUUUAUCAAACUCAUAUUUAUCGAAAUAGACGUCAAUAGCAUAAAUCAUUAUCGUCGAGAUGCUCUAUGUUAAUAUAUUGUCGCUUGAUUUAUUGUUCUUUUAAUUUAAUCUGCACCUCAAAGUCAAACUAUUGUAAAAAAAUUACUAAUAAAAAAUCAAUUCAAAGUUUUUAUUUUGUUACAUUAUUAAUUUCUUAUUUGAAACUUUGAAUGUGAUAUCUUGAAUCUUAAGCAUAUAUUAUCUUGAAAGUCUAACAAAAAAAAACUAAAUAAAUAUUCAUAAACUUUGUCUGUAUAGCAAGUUUAUACAAAUAUCGUUAAUUUAAAAAAGUAUUAAUUUAUAUUAUCAAAUAUGCAAGUAAACAAAAAAAUAUAUUUUUAUAAAUAUAAAGUAAACUUCUUGUUGCAUAAUGAAAAGAUAAACAAAUAUACGAUAGCAUGACUCUGAGGUACAUAACUUAUUCAUUUUAUUUUGUAUACACGAAUGCGCGCACACUUGUUACACAUUGCACGAAUGAAUGCAUCGGUGUAUCUUUGCAACAAAUAAACAAAUCUAUAUGGUCCGGGAAGAGAGCGAUAAUAAAAUUUACCCUACAAAACAAACCACAUCCCAUUCUUCUCCUUCCUUUCAUUUCAUUUACGUUUAAUAAUCACUACUAGUCCGACAGCUGAAGAAGAAACAUCUGCUGGACCGGUCGGUCAUCUCGAUGUCCGGUCUCAAAUUGAAUUCCCCGAUAUUCUUUUCUCGCGCGCAAUGCGAACCGGUCGGCGCUCUCUGGUCCAUCAUGAUGCUGUAGCGCGCACCUCGAUUCGCAAGACCAGUUCGUCCGUUACGGAAGCGAACGCGUUUGACCAGCUCUUAAUUCCGGUAAUGGGCGAGGACUGGUUUCGGAAAGUCGCAUCUUCGCGAGGGAUUCAUCUCUCAUCGGUCUUUGCGGCAGACCGUAGUUAGAUCAGUAAGCACCGCGACGGGAGUAAGACGGGAUUCGAUUUGCACAGUGGCAAGUGAGAAUUUUAACAAUCAUGUAAAAUUCGAAACGUCGCAUCGAAAAUACAUAUAAAGUGAUUCAUAAAUAGAACAUAAUAUUCUAGAAACAAACUUUUUUAAACUCGUUUUUUUGUCAAUCAUCCAAUCCGUGCAUUUUAAAGCGCUUCAUAAUAAAUACGUGCGCUAAGUUAGUGUGUGUCUUCACCGGAAUAUACGUGCGAGUUACCGACCAAUUCUUCGACCAAUUCGAAGCAGAAAUCAGAAACUUACCCCCGUGUUACGUAGAUGGCUGCAGCAAAGCGCCGGAGCAUCCACGAUCAAUAAUUAACCCUUCUCCCGUGUCCUGGAGCAUUCGCAAAAUGGCUCCAUACGCCAUCUCUGAGAAAAUCACUGGACAAGUUACAUAAUUUGCCUUGCGUUUAAUCAACAAAUGCGUUUUCUUCCAAGAAACGUUUCUGUCAAAUUAGAUUCUUAUUCUCUGUUGUAAAAGUAUCAACGGAGUUAUUUUAGUGUUGUUUCGAAUGAAAAAUGUAUCAAAAAUAUAAUGAAAGAAACUGAACGCCAAAUGUCAAGAAUAUGUAAUUAUUUAUAAAAUAAUUUUGCACAAUAAA